GGUCCUUUCCAGGCCAGGCCCCUGGUCCCCAGGAGUGCGGGGAUGCCUGAGGUCUACUGCUGCCUUAUCCAGAGCUGCCAUCCCCGGCGAUGACUCAGAGUUCCUGUGGCCCCAGCAUCAUCCCUCCAUCCCUGGCUGUGAGGCAGGAGCAGAGUUGCAGACCUGAGAGGCCUUGAAUUUGUUUGAUAUAGGACUUUGCCACCAGACAAAGUGCUUUGCCUGUGAGGUCUGGCUUGGCCUGGCCUCUGAGAAAGAACAAACACAGACCUCACUGGAAGGAACCUGGAGAACGGGAGAGGAGAGGCUGCUGCUGUCUGCCCUCCCAGCAGCAGAUAUAAAGACAAUGGGCUUCUAAGUCCCCUAGAGUCCCAGCUGUGUAAUUUAAGGAAGGAGCAUGGAGAAGACAAGAACAAGGCUCUCAGAAGGAAAUGGUGUGGCUGGAGCCAUGAGAACUGGUUGUGGAGGGGGUGAGGAAGGCAAAUAUAAUUUCUGACCUACGUAAUGAUGUAUGCACAAGAAGCCUCUCUUGAAUGUAUUAAUUCAGUAAACAGUUAUGGAGUCCUUACAAUGUGCUAGUGGGACUUUGAAGAUGAAUCCAAAUUUGGAUCCUGGCCUGGAAAGGCUCAAAGCCCAAUAUGGGAGCCUGGAUACAAAUGUGAAACUUAUCUUCUUUUAUUAACCAAUCAAUCACCUCCUGCCAAAACAACAUCAGCAAAAACAACAGAAAAAAACAAAAACAAAAACAAAAACAAAUCUGUGUACACAAGACCUUUGUUUCCACAGCAGACUUGGCUAAAGGUUUGGGCAUGCAUAUGCAUACCCCCAAAAUUAAAAAUGGAAAAUUGAA